CCUCAGUGUGUUCUACAAGGACCAGAUGUAUUCAGCAGGCAUGUGUUCAACUAGGAGUGGCACUACACGAACGCAAAGCAGCAUAAGGCACCUGGAGCUUCUAGAUCUAGUAUUUCGUGUAUGAGUGAAAAUCCUUCCUGGAUAAUUAAGACUGUGUCUAAACUCACAGUUACAGUAAUGCUGAUCUCAAAGACUACGUGGAAACUCAGGAACAAUGAAGACAACACGCUGUCGACUGUGCCAGGAAGCAACUCUACCAAACAAGAGGGCUCUGCUAUUAGCACGUGUCAGCUGCUGAGGGGCAUGAUCAUAGCUCAGGCUGUCAUCCAAACACUUGGGCAUGAG